rnacentral:rRNA from 1 species
UACGGAGGGUGCGAGCGUUGUCCGGAAUCACUGGGCGUAAAGGGCGCGUAGGUGGCGACCCAAGUCAACGGUGAAAGCUCGGCGCUUAACGCCGAGUCGGCCGUCGAUACUGGGUGGCUCGAGCACUGUAGAGGCAGAUGGAAUUCCGGGUGUAGCGGUGGAAUGCGUAGAGAUCCGGAAGAACACCGGUGGCGAAGGCGGUCUGACUGGGCAGUUGCUGACACUGAGGCGCGACAGCGUGGGGAGCAAACAGG